rnacentral:rRNA from 1 species
CAAUAGCGUAUAUUAGAGUUGUUGCAGUUAAAAAGCUCGUAGUUGGAUUUCUGAUCGAGACAUCAGGUCGGGUCCGAGAGGAUCAUGUACUUUGAUUUUGUUUUGAUCAUCCCUGGGGAGAGCAUUUCUGGCAUUCAGUUGUCGGGAUUGGGAUCCUCAUCGUUUACUGUGAAAAAAUUAGAGUGUUCAAAGCAGGCCUCGGCCUCUGAAUACAUUAGCAUGGAAUAAUAAGAUAGGACUUUGGUGGUCUAUUUUGUUGGUUUGCACGCCAAAGUAAUGAUUAAUAGGGAUAGUUGGGGGUAUUCGUAUUCAAUUGUCAGAGGUGAAAUUCUUGGAUUUAUGGAAGACGAACUACUGCGAAAGCAUUUACCAAGGAUGUUUUCAUUAA